GCGGACAGUCCGGACAGAGCACCCGCUCAAGGCAGGUACACGUACCAGUACUCCUGUCUUCCGGACGUUAUGAUUUAAUCGAUGACUUCUUUGUCCGUCUCUGUUCCACACGAUACAUUCACCCGGACAGAGUACUGCCGAUACUGUCUUGGCUGAAGGAACAGGACAUCACGACCGCCCAGGACCAACAUGACAACUGGGAGGACGUCCAGAACAUGGUGGACAUGACCAACGCCAUGAAACAACACAUCACCGAGGCUUUAGGGGAAAUUUCUCAUGCAAGACGUUGAUUCAUGUUGGCAAACUCGUAUCUUGCGAAAAAGCACACAGUUGAUGAUUAGAGAUAAUAUGUUGAUGAUUAGAGUGUAAACUCCGUAUUAGCGACCAUCCCCAACACAUAGAAUCUGGCAGGCAUAGCCGUACGCCGUUACAAGAUAGAC